AUUGAACGCUGGCGGCAGGCCUAACACAUGCAAGUCGAGCGAGAGGCGGACGGGUGAGUAAUGUAUGGGGACUGCCCGUUAGAGGGGGAUCAAUACUGGAAACGGUAGCUAAAACCGCAUACUAUCGGAUAACCCAUAUGGGAGUGGAUAGUAGGUGAGGUAAUGGCUCCCCUAGGCGACGAUCCAUAGCUGGUCUGAGAGGAUGAUCAGCCACACUGGGACUGAGACACGGCCCAGACUCCUACGGAGGCAGCAGUGGGGAAUAGUGGACAAUGGGCGAAAGCCUGAUGCAGCCAUGCCGCGUGUAGGAAGAAGGCCCUAGGGUUGUAAAGUACUUUCAGUCGGGAGGCGUUACCGACAGAAGAAGCACCGGCUAACUCCGUGCCAGCAGCCGCGGUAAUAC
rnacentral:rRNA from 1 species